rnacentral:rRNA from 1 species
GACGAACGCUGGCGGCGUGCCUAAUACAUGCCAGUUGAGCGAUGAAGAUUGGUGCUUGCACCAAUUUGAAGAGCAGCGAACGGGUGAGUAACGCGUGGGGAAUCUGCCUUUGAGCGGGGGACAACAUUUGGAAACGAAUGCUAAUACCGCAUAACAACUUUAAACAUAAGUUUUAAGUUUGAAAGAUGCAAUUGCAUCACUCAAAGAUGAUCCCGCGUUGUAUUAGCUAGUUGGUGAGGUAAAGGCUCACCAAGGCGAUGAUACAUAGCCGACCUGAGAGGGUGAUCGGCCACAGUGGGACUGAGACACGGCCCAAACUCCUACGGGAGGCAGCAGUAGGGAAUCUUCGGAAAUGGACGAAAGUCUGACCGAACAACGCCGCGUGAGUGAAGAAGGUUUUCGGAUCGUAAAACUCUGUUGGUAGAGAAGAACGUUGGUGAGAGUGGAAAGCUCAUCAAGUGACGGUAACUACCCAGAAAGGGACGGCUAACUACGUG